GGGUUGUGAGGUUAAGCGACUAAGCGUACACGGUGGAUGCCCUGGCAGUCAGAGGCGAUGAAGGGCGUGCUAAUCUGCGAUAAGCGCCGGUAAGGUGAUAUGAACCGUUAUAACCGGCGAUACCCGAAUGGGGAAACCCAGUGUGAUUCGUCACACUAUCAUUAACUGAAUCCAUAGGUUAAUGAGGCGAACCGGGGGAACUGAAACAUCUAAGUACCCCGAGGAAAAGAAAUCAACCGAGAUUCCCCCAGUAGCGGCGAGCGAACGGGGAGGAGCCCAGAGCCUGAAUCAGCAUGUGUGUUAGUGGAAGCGUCUGGAAAGUCGCGCGAUACAGGGUGACAGCCCCGUACACAAAAGCGCAUGUGUUGUGAGCUCGAUGAGUAGGGCGGGACACGUGGUAUCCUGUCUGAAUAUGGGGGGACCAUCCUCCAAGGCUAAAUACUCCUGACUGACCGAUAGUGAACCAGUACCGUGAGGGAAAGGCGAAAAGAACCCCGGCGAGGGGAGUGAAAAAGAACCUGAAACCGUGUACGUACAAGCAGUGGGAGCCCCACCACCAAAGCAUUCUCUGGUGUUGAAGGCCCUGCAAAGCAGCAUCGCGGUGGCGGAGCGUCGUUUGCGACGCCCAACACACAAAACAAGCGGUGAGUGCUUUGGGGUGGGGUGACUGCGUACCUUUUGUAUAAUGGGUCAGCGACUUAUAUUCUGUAGCAAGGUUAACCGUAUAGGGGAGCCGGAGGGAAACCGAGUCUUAAUUGGGCGUUAAGUUGCAGGGUAUAGACCCGAAACCCGGUG
rnacentral:rRNA from 1 species